rnacentral:rRNA from 1 species
UACGAAGGGUGCAAGCGUUAAUCGGAAUUACUGGGCGUAAAGGGUGCGUAGGCGGUUGUUUAAGUCUGUCGUGAAAUCCCCGGGCUCAACCUGGGAAUGGCGAUGGAAACUGGGCAGCUAGAGUGUGUCAGAGGAUGGUGGAAUUCCCGGUGUAGCGGUGGAAUGCGUAGAGAUCCGGAGGAACACCAGCGGCGAAGGCGGCAUCCUGGACUGGUACUGACGCUCAGGAGCGAAAGCGUGGGGAGCGAUCCGG